rnacentral:rRNA from 1 species
AGAUUGAACGCUGGCGGCAGGCCUAACACAUGCAAGUCGAGCGGUAGAGAGGUGCUUGCAUCUCUUGAGAGCGGCGGACGGGUGAGUAAUGCCUAGGAAUCUGCCUAGUGGUGGGGGAUAACGUUCGGAAACGGACGCUAAUACCGCAUACGUCCUACGGGAGAAAGCGGGGGACCUUCGGGCCUCGCGCCAUUAGAUGAGCCUAGGUCGGAUUAGCUAGUUGGUGAGGUAAUGGCUCACCAAGGCGACGAUCCGUAACUGGUCUGAGAGGAUGAUCAGUCACACUGGAACUGAGACACGGUCCAGACUCCUACGGGAGGCAGCAGUGGGGAAUAUUGGACAAUGGGCGAAAGCCUGAUCCAGCCAUGCCGCGUGUGUGAAGAAGGUCUUCGGAUUGUAAAGCACUUUAAGUGGAGGAAGGUUGUAACCUAAUACGUUGCAACUUUGACGUUACCGACAGAAUAAGCACCGGCUAACUUCGUAGCCAGCAAGCCGUA